rnacentral:rRNA from 1 species
AAUCAACGCUGGCGGCGUGCCUCAGACAUGCAAGUCGAACGCGAAAGUUUCCUUCGGGGAGCGAGUAGAGUGGCGCACGGGUGAGUAACACGUAGGUAAUCUACCUUCGGAUGGGGAAUAACAAUCGGAAACGGUUGCUAAUACCGCAUAAUGCAGCGGCACCUAAUGGUGACAGUUGUUAAAGCGGGGGAGUCGUAAGACCUCGCGUCUGAAGAGGAGCCUGCGGCGGAUUAGCUUGUUGGUAAGGUAAUGGCUUACCAAGGCGACGAUCCGUAACCGGCCUGAGAGGGCGGUCGGUCACACUGACACUGACAUACGGGUCAGACUCC